rnacentral:rRNA from 1 species
CCUACGGGAGGCAGCAGUAAGGAAUAUUGGUCAAUGGACGAAAGUCUGAACCAGCCAUGCCGCGUGAAGGAUGAAGGCCCUCUGGGUUGUAAACUUCUUUUAUAGGGGACGAAAAAAGGGAAUUCUUUCCCACUUGACGGUACCCUAGGAAUAAGCACCGGCUAACUCCGUGCCAGCAGCCGCGGUAAUACGGAGGGUGCAAGCGUUAUCCGGAUUUACUGGGUUUAAAGGGUGCGUAGGUGGGCAGUUAAGUCAGUGGUGAAAUCUCCGAGCUUAACUCGGAAACUGCCAUUGAUACUAUCUGUCUUGAAUAUCCUGGAGGUGAGCGGAAUAUGUCAUGUAGCGGUGAAAUGCUUAGAUAUGACAUAGAACACCAAUUGCGAAGGCAGCUCACUACGGGAUUAUUGACACUGAGGCACGAAAGCGUGGGGAUCAAACAGGAUUAGAUACCCUGGUAGUCCACGCCCUAAACUAUGGAUACUCGACAUCAGCGAUACACUGUUGGUGUCUGAGCGAAAGCAUUAAGUAUCCACCUGGGAAGUACGAUCGCAAGAUUGAAACUUCAAAUGAAUUGACGGCUUGAGACGNGCGAGCGACGACGAGGAGAGG